rnacentral:rRNA from 1 species
UACAGAGGGUGCAAGCGUUGUUCGGAAUUAUUGGGCGUAAAGCGCGUGUAGGCGGUUCGUUAAGUCUGGUGUGAAAGCCCAGGGCUCAACCCUGGAAGUGCACUGGAUACUGGCGAACUAGAGGACGGGAGAGGGUAGUGGAAUUCCUGGUGUACCGGUGAAAUGGGUAGAUAUCAGGAAGAACAUCGGUGGCGAAGGCGGCUACCUGGUCCGUAACUGACGCUGAGACGCGAAAGCGUGGGGAGCAAACAGG